AUUUACCAUAAUUCAAUAUAGCUUUGAACAAAACUCAGUGUUACAUUCCACCAUAUAUUUUUUAUACUUGUUAUAUCAUUAAACAAAUCUUCAUCAAUUCAGAGAAUUUGCAUGCUGCUUUGUUAUGAACUAUGUCUAACCAUUGUGAAGAAUUUGAUGUGGAAGAAAAUGUCAUGGUGAGGGAGACACUACAACAAGAACAAGAACAAAACCCAUCUUCUAUGAUCAAAUAUUUAUAUGUUGGACACCUC
rnacentral:lncRNA from 1 species